rnacentral:lncRNA from 1 species
UGGAGACUUUGUAUCGUGUCCUGUUCUUAGUGCUUGAAUGUCCCUGAAUGUCCCAACCUGAAGCUGAAGAAGCCACCAUGACUGCACAUGGCGUCGACCAUGACUGUGUAUGCUCUGGUGCUGGUGUCUUACUUCCUCACCACUGGAGGAAUAAUUUAUGAUGUUAUUGUUGAACCUGCAAGUGUUGGCUCUAUGACUGAUGAACAUAGGCAUUAGAGGUCAGUAGCUUUCUUGGCCUACAGAGUAAAUGGACAAUAUAUUAUGGAAGGACUUGCAUCCAGCUUCCUGUUUAAAAUGGGAGGUUUACGUUUCAUAAUCCUGGACCAAUUGAAUGCACAAAAUAUCCCAAAACUCAAUAGAUUUCUUCUUCUAUUCAUUAAAUUCAUGUGUGUCCUACUGAGUUUUUUCACGGCUAGAGUUUUCAUGAGAAUGAAACUGCUGGGCUAUCUGAUGGGCU